AUAUCUCUCCGUACGGGAAGGAUGAGAAGCUUCGACUAAGGUUCGAUUCGAGCGCAGCGAGAACGCGUUGCCGCAGGCAA
rnacentral:sRNA from 6 species